rnacentral:lncRNA from 1 species
CUCAACACAUCAAUGCCAUAUUAACGCGUAUGAUCAACCAUCCUUUUUGUAAGGAAUGAGAAGGAAACCUGGUAUCUCUCCGCAGAGAAGGCUUCCCCCACAAGAAGACCUACUCUUACAUGCUCAUAUGCUUGCAUUCUGCAUGGGGAAAAGAAAGAGGAAGGAGAGAGAAACCAAGCAAGUAGAUGGAAGAGUGAGAAAGGAGGAAGACAGAAAAGUUCCUUCUUUCCUUUUUUCCCAGAGAGUAGAUGGUUAAUUCCUUCCUUGGUAUGGAACAGGAUGAAAUAACAAUUUUGAUAUUAUUAUUUGGUUUUAUACAGAAGACAACUUUAGUUCUGAAGUAUAGUUCAUUUGGCUACAUCAUGAAUCUGUGCGAUAAAAGAAAAUUGAAGAUUUAAAUGCAGAUCAGAUGGCGUGUCUGAGAGAAGUCUCGAAAAAGGUUAUGACUGGGACAUUGGUUAGGAG